rnacentral:lncRNA from 1 species
UAAGUGAAAGAAAAACAUUCAAUAAUAGAGAAAAACUACUACCAUUAUUUUGUGUCUCUCUUUCUCUCCAUUUCUUCUUGUCAUUUUAUCUUACUACACAUGCUUCAUUUUAUAACACGUUAUCAACACGAGUCUCUUCAUCUACGAGCAUCUCCGGUGGUGUAUUAGCCCAAAAUAGUAUAGAGUAUAUUAUAUUUUGCUAUAUAAGUCUUCUUAUACUUGAUAGUCUAAAUUUG